AUUGAACGCUGGCGGCAGGCCUAACACAUGCAAGUCGAGCGGGGUUUUCGGACCUAGCGGCGGACGGGUGAGUAAUGCGUAGGAAUGUACCCUUUGGUUCGGAAUAACGUUUGGAAACGAACGCUAAUACCGGAUGAGCCCUGCGGGGGAAAGAUUUAUCGCCAAAGGAGCAGCCCGCGUCUGAUUAGCUAGUUGGUGGGGUAAAGGCCUACCAAGGCGACGAUCAGUAGCUGGUCUGAGAGGAUGAUCAGCCACACUGGGACUGAGACACGGCCCAGACUCCUACGGGAGGCAGCAGUGGGGAAUAUUGGACAAUGGGCGGAAGCCUGAUCCAGCCAUGCCGCGUGAGUGAUGAAGGCCUUCGGGUUGUAAAGCUCUUUCGCACGCGACGAUGAUGACGGUAGCGUGAGAAGAAGCCCCGGCUAACUUCGUGCCAGCCGCCGCGGUAACAC
rnacentral:rRNA from 1 species